rnacentral:ncRNA from 1 species
UCUGGAUAAACUUGUAUCCAUCCAAGAGAAUGGAGUAAGUCACUUUACGGAAAUUAAAAUAAGUAAAACAUUUUAGGGUUGACAAAGACUUACUAUAAGUGAAAUUCUGAAAUAUCAGGAUAACCGUAUGUCCUUUAGCACUGUUUGUGUUAUAAAAAUAAUCUUAAAUAACUUUGAUUAAGUUUUUGAGUUACGGUUCU